rnacentral:tRNA from 1 species
UUAAGCAAGGAUAACCGAAAUGUCAGGGGUUCGAGCCCCCUAUGAGGAG